rnacentral:rRNA from 1 species
CGACCGGCGCACGGGUGAGUAACACGUAUCCAACCUGCCUCAUACUCGGGGAUAGCCUUUCGAAAGAAAGAUUAAUAUCCGAUAGCAUAUAUUUCCCGCAUGGGUUUUAUAUUAAAGAAAUUCGGUAUGAGAUGGGGAUGCGUUCCAUUAGUUUGUUGGGGGGUAACGGCCCACCAAGGCGACGAUCAGUAGCCGACCUGAGAGGGUGAUCGGCCACAUUGGGACUGAGACACGGCCCAA